UACAGAGGUCUCAAGCGUUGUUUGGAUUCAUUGGGCGUAAAGAGCUCGUAGGCGGCUUGGUAAGUCGGGUGUGAAACCUCCAGGCUCAACCUGGAGACGCCACUCGAUACUGCCAUGGCUAGAGUCCGGUAGGGGCCCACGGAAUUCCUGGUGUAGCGGUGAAAUGCGCAGAUAUCAGGAGGAACACCGGUGGCGAAGGCGGUGGGCUGGGCCGGUACUGACGCUGAGGAGCGAAAGCGUGGGGAGCGAACAGG
rnacentral:rRNA from 1 species